rnacentral:lncRNA from 11 species
CAGAAUGGCGAGCACGCCUCGCACAAGAAGCUCCUUUGCUUCAGUCUACCGGAACACUUGUAACCGUUCGGAAGCGUUCUACCUAGGCCUUUCGCCCUAACUGAUUGGAAACGGUCACGAAUUUGGUCGCGGUCAGGUGGAUUAUCGUGUUCCAGCGCAAAAGUAUUCAGAGUUUGGUCGCACCAUUCCAAAAGAGGAGCCCCAAGAAAACUUCGCUGAAGGAAAUCACGCUAUUUUCUGAUGAAACAACUCCAAAUUUCCCAUGAAAAAAUACAUCUAAAUCACCCAGGAAUCAAAGCUUUCCUAGAAACCAAUGAAAAUCGUUUGUCUGGGCUCUUCUCAACACCGGCAGAAUCAAAUUUGUCAGCCAAAUCCCCGUUUACAAUAAACUAUUGGAAAGCACGUGCAGCUUAAACUCUGUGAAACCACAACCACCCCAGGCAACCGAAACGGCCAUCAGUGACGAAUGCUUUCCGAGAAUGGGAAUCAUAGAAAAAGUGCCCCACUUUUCCAACAAUGACCGUUAAUCGCACCGGAAAUGAUGUUCUGCGACAUCUUGCUUUGCGUCGUCCGGUAGCAGCACUUCUGUGGCUGGAAGCAAAAACAAAAUCACCACGAACAGGUGUUGACGGGCUUCUCCUCCCAUGAGACUGGAUCUAGAACGAGUCGACCUUCCAGAUAGGAUUUUUGGUUUUUGCUGGUGAUAGUUUUUCCACGUUUCGGUCUGGCACUUGGUGGAAAAAAAAACUGACGACGAGUUUCGUUGAAACAACCGAUGUCGAAGCAAUCGAAGACCACCAAGCAAUACUGCACUGUCCACUUCUAGCGAUGAAUCGCGAUAAAAUCAACAUGGUAUUGUGGUUCCGAGACAACGCCAGCAUCCCGCUGUAUAGACAGUGUAACUACGUCAGAACUCAUUGACGAUGAAAAUCAUACGCGUGGGCCAAAGUCUGCUGAAACAAACCUCAAGGGGGUCGUACCAAUGCAGAGCACUCAACACCGAAAGCGAGACCGUGAGCAACGAAAUCUAACUCAGUUCUUGACAUCGUUCAGUUUGGGCCACGAACUCUACAUCCAUGGUGAUAAAUGAUACUCCAGGUUGACUCCACGUCUCUCUUUUGGAUCUUAAGAAAAAAAAAAAAAGUUGGAUAUCAACAUCAGUAACAUCGAUCUUCCAGAUAUAAAGGAUGAAAAUGAAGAAGUGUACUGGCAACGAAAAAUGUAUCGCAUAAACAGACACGUGUGUUAUUCAUGAACAAAAACAUUGGAAAAAAUUAAA